GAUGAACGCUGGCGGCGUGCCUAAUACAUGCAAGUCGAACGGACAGGCCCUGCUCUUGCUGGGCUCACGUUAGCCGAACGCGGGAGUAACACACGUGUAAACCCUCCCUGUCUUUCUGAUAUCAUUAGGAAACUGGGGCUAUUAUCGCAUAUGAGAUCUUGAUGCAUGGUGGUGGAUGGUAAGUUACGGCGGUUCUGGAUGGUCUCGCUGCUUACCAGCUUGUUGGGGGGGUAGUGGCGUACCAAGGCUUCGAAGGGUAGCCGGCCUGAGAGGGUGACCGGCCACAUUGGGACUGAGAUACGGACCAGACUCCUACGGGCGGCAGCAGUGGGGAAUAUUGCACAAUGGGCGGAAGCCUGAUGCAGCAACGCCGCGUGCGGGAUGACGGCCUUCGAGUUGUAAACCGCUUUCGCCUGUGACGAAGCGUGAGUGACGGUAAUGGGUAAAGAAGCACCGGCUAACUACGUG
rnacentral:rRNA from 1 species